rnacentral:rRNA from 1 species
UCCUGGCUCAGGACGAACGCUGGCGGCGUGCCUAAUACAUGCAAGUAGAACGCUGAAGAGAGGAGCUUGCUCUUCUUGGAUGAGUUGCGAACGGGUGAGUAACGCGUAGGUAACCUGCCUUGUAGCGGGGGAUAACUAUUGGAAACGAUAGCUAAUACCGCAUAACAAUGGAUGACACAUGUCAUUUAUUUGAAAGGGGCAAUUGCUCCACUACAAGAUGGACCUGCGUUGUAUUAGCUAGUAGGUGAGGUAACGGCUCACCUAGGCGACGAUACAUAGCCGACCUGAGAGGGUGAUCGGCCACACUGGGACUGAGACACGGCCCAGACUCCUACGGGAGGCAGCAGUAGGGAAUCUUCGGCAAUGGGGGCAACCCUGACCGAGCAACGCCGCGUGAGUGAAGAAGGUUUUCGGAUCGUAAAGCUCUGUUGUAAGUCAAGAACGAGUGUGAGAGUGGAAAGUUCACACUGUGACGGUAGCUUACCAGAAAGGGACGGCUAACUACGUGCCAGCAGCCGCGGUAAUACGUAGGUCCCGAGCGUUGUCCGGAUUUAUUGGGCGUAAAGCGAGCGCAGGCGGUUUGAUAAGUCUGAAGUUAAAGGCUGUGGCUCAACCAUAGUUCGCUUUGGAAACUGUCAAACUUGAGUGCAGAAGGGGAGAGUGGAAUUCCAUGUGUAGCGGUGAAAUGCGUAGAUAUAUGGAGGAACACCGGUGGCGAAAGCGGCUCUCUGGUCUGUAACUGACGCUGAGGCUCGAAAGCGUGGGGAGCGAACAGGAUUAGAUACCCUGGUAGUCCACGCCGUAAACGAUGAGUGCUAGGUGUUGGAUCCUUUCCGGGAUUCAGUGCCGCAGCUAACGCAUUAAGCACUCCGCCUGGGGAGUACGACCGCAAGGUUGAAACUCAAAGGAAUUGACGGGGGCCCGCACAAGCGGUGGAGCAUGUGGUUUAAUUCGAAGCAACGCGAAGAACCUUACCAGGUCUUGACAUCCCGAUGCUAUUUCUAGAGAUAGAAAGUUACUUCGGUACAUCGGUGACAGGUGGUGCAUGGUUGUCGUCAGCUCGUGUCGUGAGAUGUUGGGUUAAGUCCCGCAACGAGCGCAACCCCUAUUGUUAGUUGCCAUCAUUCAGUUGGGCACUCUAGCGAGACUGCCGGUAAUAAACCGGAGGAAGGUGGGGAUGACGUCAAAUCAUCAUGCCCCUUAUGACCUGGGCUACACACGUGCUACAAUGGUUGGUACAACGAGUUGCGAGUCGGUGACGGCAAGCUAAUCUCUUAAAGCCAAUCUCAGUUCGGAUUGUAGGCUGCAACUCGCCUACAUGAAGUCGGAAUCGCUAGUAAUCGCGGAUCAGCACGCCGCGGUGAAUACGUUCCCGGGCCUUGUACACACCGCCCGUCACACCACGAGAGUUUGUAACACCCGAAGUCGGUGAGGUAACCUUU